GGAGAGGUGCGAGAGCGGUCGAAUCGGCACGACUGGAAAUCGUGUGAACCGAAAGGUUCCGAGGGUUCGAAUCCCUCCCUCUCCGCCA
rnacentral:tRNA from 1 species